rnacentral:rRNA from 1 species
UACGGAGGGGGCUAGCGUUGUUCGGAAUUACUGGGCGUAAAGCGCACGUAGGCGGCUUGGUAAGUUAGAGGUGAAAGCCUGGAGCUCAACUCCAGAAUUGCCUUUAAGACUGCCGAGCUAGCAGGUGAGAGAGGUGAGUGGAAUUCCGAGUGUAGAGGUGAAAUUCGUAGAUAUUCGGAAGAACACCGGUGGCGAAGGCGGCGACCUGGUUCAUAACUGACGCUGAGGCGCGAAAGCGUGGGGAGCAAACAGG